GCAAGUCUACCGGAAUUUACUUUCGGGUAAUAGUACGGUGGCGGACGGGUGAGUAACGCGUGAGAAACUUGCCCCAUAGACAGGGAUAACUAUUUGAAAAGGUAGCUAAUACCAGAUAAGCUCACAUUGCAGCAUUGCGAAGUGAGAAAAGAUUACGCUAUGGGAGAGUCUCGCGUCCUAUUAGCUAGUUGGUGAGGUAAUGGCUCACCAAGGCGACGAUAGGUAGCCGGCCUGAGAGGGUGAAC
rnacentral:rRNA from 1 species